rnacentral:rRNA from 1 species
ACUUUCAACAACGGAUCUCUUGGUUCUGGCAUCGAUGAAGAACGCAGCGAAAUGCGAUAAGUAGUGUGAAUUGCAGAAUUCAGUGAAUCAUCGAAUCUUUGAACGCACAUUGCGCCCCUUGGUAUUCCAUGGGGCAUGCUUGUUCGAGCGUCAUUUG